UACGGACAUAUCACAUUGAAAUACUGAUUCCAGUAUGAUCACUGAAGUUAAGCAACGUCGAGCCUGGUUAGUACUUAGAUAGGUAACCACUUGGAAAUAUCAGGUGCUGUAAG